UUUUUGUUUUGUUUUGUUUUGUCUAUUUAGGGCCACAACUGUGGCAUACGGAGGUUACAGGCUAGGGGUCCAAUUGGAGCUGUAGUCACUGGCCAACACCACAGCCACAGCAACACCAGAUCCGAGCCCUGUCUGCGACCUACACCACAGCUCAUGGCAAUGCCAGAUCCUUAACCCACUGAGCGAGGUCAGGGAUCGAACCUGCGUCCUCAUGGAUACCCGUCAGAUCCGUUUCCUCUGAGCCACGAUGGGAACUCCAGGAAAAAGAUUUCAAAUAUAACGGCUUAAGGCAUCAUUCACGUACCAUGCCCGAGACACUGGUUUCUAGUGUAUACACAGAGCUGGGCCACUGUCGCCACAAUCCAUUUAGAAUAUCUUCACAACUCCAGAAAGAAACCCCGGACCCGUUAGCAGUCACUUCCAUUUCGCCCCCCAGCCCUAAGCAAUGAAUACAUUUUUGAGCAUAAGCAUAUCCCAAAGACGACACGGGACAUUUUUUUUUUUGGCCACGCCCAUGGCAUGGGGAAGUUCCUGAGCAAGGAAUUGAACCUGUGCCACAGCAAUGACCUGAGCCCAGGCAGUGACAAGGCCAGAUCCUUAAGCUGCAGAGCCACACAGGCACCCUGACAUGGGAGAUACACUUGUACAAAAAGGUAUUUGUUGUUUAUCUGAAGUUGAAAUUUAACCGAGUGUCCUGUUUCGUUUUUCUUUCUAAAUCUGGCGGCCCUGCCCCCGGGGCGGCCGUGGGCAUCAAGAGCGCCAGGUGCUUCAGACAGAGUCAGUGAUGUGUGCAUUGGCUGGUCCGUUAUUUUUACUGUCUUCAUUUGUGUUCUCCCAGAAGCAGAGCCCAGGGACAAGGAUUUGUGGGCCAGGGGUCUGUUCGUGAGGGGCUUUGGGAAGGGCGGACGUGGAGUGGUGAGAUGCGGUGGGGGGCAACAAGGGGCCACAGGGAGCGGUCCUGCUGGGGACCCUGGGAGAGGAGGGGUCCUGGGAAGGACAGGGGGUUGCAGACUCGAUCAGGAAUGCCUUUCUUUCUUGGUGGGAUGUCACCCUCCUGCCUGGGGCGGCAGCUGAGACUCUGAAUCACGGGGCUCUGGGAGUUCGGCCAGUGGGUGCCGAACAGGUGAUGGAGACACCCCAGGCACAUGAACUGGGGUGAAUGGUGUCCCCCCAAAUUCCCAUCCACCGGGAACCUGCGAGGGUGAUCCCUCAUGGCAGGCGGACCUUUGCAGAUGUUAAAACGAGGCGUCGUGGAACAGCGUGGACCCUCAGCCAAGGUCUGGAGUCCGGAAAAGAAGAGGGGAGCCUGGACACACACACACACACAGGGAGGGCGGUCAUGUGACAGCAGAGCCAGAAGCUGGAGGAGGCGGCCACGAGCCAAGUGGCGCCAAGGACAGCCGGAACCGCCAGGAGCCAGAAGAGACAAGGAGGGACGCUCCCCGAGAGCCUUCUUCGGGGAUCACAGCCCUGCCGGCCCCUUGAUCUUGGCCUCCAGGACUGCAGGAGGAUACACUCCUGCUGCUUGAAGCUGCCCAGGCUGUGGCCCUCUGCUACGGCCACCCCGAGACAGGGAGACAGAGUGUCCCUCUGUCUCUGUGCCUCGGCCCCUUCAACAACAAAAGGGAUCAAAGCAGCAGCCUCCCAGGGCGGCCGUGCGUGCGGUGCAGCCAGACACCCCAGGCGUUCAGCGCGGGCCCAGGAUGCCCUAUGCCCUGGGCAGCGCCAGCGGCUGCGGGUUGGUCUGGCUCGGUCCCUGCCCCGCCAGAGCGCGAUGGGCUGACAGCCCCAAACCCUUGAAACAGCCCCAGCUGGGGAGGCUGGUGCCCUUGUUCUGUGCACUCCUGGGGCACCACGGUGACAGAGCGGCUGCUAUCAAUUCCUACAGCGCCCGCCCUCUGCCCGGCCCUUGCCAUGCUGCCAGCAUCGCGCAUCCCAGGAGCGCAGACACAGAAUGUCAUGUCAUAGCGUUCGCGGUCCCAUAACCUUUGCUUCAGGGGGCGGCUCCAGCUGUCAGAGGAGCCUGCAGGUAAAUAUUUCAGCAGCCGGAGGCCAGUGCGGGGGCUCGGCCGGCCGGGGGCCAGGCUCCCCGGGGGGGCGGGCGGCGGGGACAGGCACCGCAGGAGCGCUGGCGGCCAAGCUUGAGCUGUUUUAAAAUAUUCUCACGGUAAAUCCAAAGCAAGCAAGCAGGAGAGGCUCAAGCAAGGAUAAAAUACGAGCAGAUAUAAAGCCAGACACCUUUAUUGUUCCGAAAUGUCUUCCAGCAAGUUAUGGGACCACAGCUUGACCCUCACCUGUCACACUGUUAAACAGCAGGACACAAAGCAGGCUCUCGGAAUCGGGGCUCAAAGGAGGCUCUGGUCCCCCACUCGGCGGGAAUCUGACCCCGACGCUGCUGUAAAGAGCCCUGUCCUUCUCUCCUGCUGGGCACCCCCCCUUUCGGUCAUGUGAAGGUGUCCCCCCUGCCUGCGCUGGCAGAGCCCUGCCUGCCGUGUCACAAAGCGACAGGCGUUCUGGCUUUAUUGAGCACUUACUACGCCCGGCAAUGGUCUGGGGCCUGGGGACACGGAAAUACAUCAAAUAACUUGGACGCGGCAGCCUGAUGGGAGAACGGGAUCGGAGCUUGUCGCCAAGCACGGCCGCUUGUCCCCAAGAGAGGCCUGUUCUCUCUGUCCCUCCUCAGGCCUCCUCAGGCCUCCGCUGCCUCCCAGGUGAAACGGGCAAAGAGCCCAACUCCCUCUGGGGGUCUUGGUGACCCUUUAGCGCCACGAGCCACACAAAGCGCUAAGCUCGGGCCUACCCCGCCCCCCACGUGGCUGCUGCUAAGUGAUGUCCUUCUCUGGGGCUCGGUUUGCUCCUCCGUGAAAUGGGGCAACAGCCACACCUCCUCCCCGGGCUUUGGUGCCAAUUCAGUGGCUUAGGACAGGUAGGGGGCUUCAGCUGGAGGGGCUCCGACCCUAGGCUAGGGAUCGAAUCAGAGCUGCAGCUGCCCGCCUACGCCACAACCACGGCAAUGCGGGAUCCGAGCCGCAUCCGCGACCUAUGCUGCAGCUCAAGGCAACGCCAGAUCCUUAACCCACUGAGUGAGGCCAGGGAUCGAACCCACGUCCUCCCAGACACUAGCCAGGUUCUUCACAACGAGGGCUAUUCUUAUUUACACAGAAGGGGAAGCCCUGGAGGCUCAGCCAGUAGAACCUCCUCCCCGUUCUAGGGUGACGGGGACAGGGACAAAGGGUGAGUGAGGUGCAGGAGGAAAAGCAGUGACAGGACCACCUGAGGAGCUCUGAAGGGCAAGGCCUGCCCCACCUGCAUGCAAAUCGGAUGCAAAUACGCUUGCUCCCCGCAUCGAGGUCCCAACCUGCAGCCUGGUAGGAGCUGGGCAGCUCCCUGGAGUUCUGCCCAACCACACAGCUCUGGAUGAUGCCAGGUGGGCCCAGACUGGUGCUGGGCGCUGGGCACCUCUGUCCCCAGCCCCUGGCUGGGAGGCCUCAGGACUGUUACCUUUCUCUUUUUAAAUGUUUAAAAUUUGUAUUUUCGUUGGGUCCAGAGCACGUGGAAGUUCCCGGGCCAGGCAUCGAACCCGCACAGCCACCGAGACGAUGCCGAAUCCUUAACCUGCCCCACCACAGUGGGAACUCCCUGGUUCCCUUUCUUGAUCAGUGACAGCCACUCCAAGGUCCCGAGAGGGCCCUCGAUGUCACCGAUGUCACGGAGAUUUUCUCCACCUUUUAGAAUUUGUGACACACUUGUGACUUUGCCUGGAGGUGCUUCAUCUAACCCAUCUUCUCACCCACCCUGUCACAAGGCAGCACGCAGCCCCAGCAUCUCCCGCUGUUUCUGUCAACGGGCAGGACUGGAUGGGGGAAGGAAAGAUGCCUGAGCGUUGUCUGCCGUCCUCUGUUCUCUUCUUCCACCCACUCCUAGCAUCCUCCCCGCCCUCCUCCUUCAUCCAGCCAUCCAUCCUUCCGUCCAGCCGUCUGUGCGGCCGAUUAGGUUUACUGAGCCCCUACUAUAUGCCGGGCGCUCCCCUACGUUCAGGACACACAGCGAGCAAAAGACACAGACAAGCUCCCCGGAUAGGACGUUCCAGCCAAAGGAGAUUAAAAACCCACAGAAACCAACGAACAAGACAAUCUGGAGUGACUGGUGCCGAGUAUGAGGAAGAAGGCAAACCAAGACAUCUGAGAAUGAGGGACCUGAGGGGAGGCAAUCAGGUGACCCGGGAGGGCUUCCUGGAGGAGGUGGCGUGGGAGCUGGAGCCUGAAGGGGGAGGGGGCCACUCAUGCUGAGUGCUGGGCCUCGGGUGUUCCAGGCGGCGGCGGGAAGAGCGAGGCCCCGGCAGGCCCAGGAGAGGAGGGGCCACAGGAGGGGCUCAAGUGGGUGGGUGACAGGUGGGUGCAGAGGAAGCUGGGCACCAGGAAGGGAAACCAGCGGGGCUGGGACUGGGCAGGGCCUGGAGGGUGGGGUGGUCCUCAGGGGCCGGGGAGCUGCCCCCUCCUCAGGCCCCGUGUCCCCGGUACUGGCCCCAGGGAGCCCGCAUGCAGCACCUGCCAGGUUCUGGGCCAGAAAAGCCACCUUGAGAGACCAGGUUGUCAGACAGAAGCGGGGACACCCCAGUAAGGUCCCUGCGGACAUCAAGGGGCCCUGAGCGCCCCCCUCUCCGACUGUAGGAGCGACAGGUUGGGGAGCUGCUUCCAGCCCCCAUAGCCAGAGCCAGCCUCUCCUGAGCACGGACUCCACAGAGUCUCCCUUCCGAGGCUUCUCACAAGUACACCUGUCCAAUCCUCUCAUCAUUUUACAGGUGGAGAAAUUGAGGCCCAGAGAGGGUAAGCGUGUGCUCAAAGGUCACACAGACGGAUCCGAGCCUGUGCUGUGAGCCAACACUGCCGCUGUGGCUGCUGCCAGCAAUGAACAGUAACACAUGUCAUUUCCACAGCGCUCUGGCCCCAGGGCCAUCAAAAGUGCGUGCCAUUUGCAGCGCGUCUUACGGCCACAGAGCUCCAUUCCAGUUAUUAUCCCAUUUCACACAUGAGCAAACUGAGGCAACAGCGGGGAAGAUGUGGAGGCUGGGGUUUGAGCCAGGCAGGAGAGGGCUCCUCCUGCUUUGGCAUCUGCUGCCGCUAGGGUUUGGGGGCACAGGGCUGUUAAGAGGGGGGCCCAGGGCACCUGCUGUCACUUCCCUCUCUGCAGGCCGCACGGACAGGGGCAGAGCCCACGUGAAGCAUGCCACCUGCAGUCCCCACAGUGAAACAGACUGGGAGGUGGGCUGGCUUCCAAGCUGGCAUCCUGUCAGCCCCGACCUGUCACACAGAGGCCCUGAGCAAAGGGCAGCUGUGAUAUAGCCCCGGGCAGCCCCAGGCAGGCCCCACUCAGGGCAACCUCAGGGCCCCGGGGUCCACCCCCCGGUGAUAAAGGACUGCCCUCCCCUGGAGCCCCCUCACCCCCCACCGGGUGUGCACCAACCCUGAAGCUGCCCCUCGGCCCUUUCCCCUCCUCGCCCCCGUUCAGGGCGUGGCAGACCCCCGUCUGGACCUGGAGCCGAAGCUGGAGCCGGCCUGGCCCGGGGGUCACGGGUGGUCAUCCUUAAUGGCUCCUGUCCGGCUCUGUCUCCACAAGGGAGUGAUCUAUGACCUCAUUACUGCCGAGGCCUCCGAAGGGCUCCAGGAUGGAUUACCCGCUGCCUUGGGAGAGCAGGGAGGCGAAAACGCGGGCAGGUGAAAAAUGAACUUCAUCAGACUCCGCGGGUCUCAUUACCAUCCAUCAGCAGCCAGCCCGCCCCUGGGGGGGCCGGGGGGGGGGCUCCACCUAAGCCGUGGCGCUCAGCCCAGCUUUGCCUCCUGCCUCGCUCCCCAGGGACCCGAGAAGCAGCCGCCAGCCAGCGGUGGGGGCGGGAAGCCAGCAUCUCCCACCAGGGCCGGCCGCCGGGCAGCUGUGGUUCUCUGACCAGGGGCCUGGAUGGUGGGGGCCUCCCAGAGAGACACAGCCAACCUGCUCUCUCUCUCUGCCCCCACUCCCCCGCCCGGACAAGCAGCUACUGGCUGGCACCCACCCCCAACCCCUGUCGAGCUCACCCUGCCCUACUGGGCCCAGCACGGGACAAGGGGCCUCCUCGGGCAGAAAGGGCUCGUCUUCCACCUGGUGGAGCUCCUGGGGCAGGUGCCAGGGGUGGGGGGCAGGGAGACCUUUAGGAGGGGAAGCAGUUCUGGAGGCAUCGGGCUGUGCCAAGGUCAGGCGAGGGAUGGGGGUGGGCGGGGGACAGGAACCCCACAGCCUAGCCUGGCUGAGCACGAGGCUCCCAGUGGCCAGGCGCAGAGCAGGCCUGCUCCAAAGGUCAUCUCCCAUCUUCCCCUGGUCCCUUCCCAAAGUACCCCCAGGACACAGAAAAGGCCCACAAGGCUUGGGCCCGCCUGUCCUGUGACUCCCGUCCUGCAUCUGAGGGACCAGUUUCAAGUCACUCCCUCCUCCAGCCAGGCUUGGGGCCCCUUGGGAGCGGCUGGGCUUCACCAAGGCCCCAGAUGAAGGCUGCUGGGCGUUCAGCAUCCCACCUGCACGCCUGGCCGCAAGCUCUCGGCCCUUCUGUGAGCUGAGCUGCCACGCGCAUGAGAAGCGAGAGCGAGACCCAAGGGACAGGGGGACAGGUAAAGGAAAUCCUUUCCCACGACAACACUGGAGGCCACUGGUUCAGGGCCUGCUCAGUGGGCCCGGUAUGAGCAACGGGAGGAGCAUUGGCGCUAUUGCUGGUUCUGUUUAUAGGUGUGGAAAUCAAAGUUCAGAGAGGUUGAGAAUGGCGUGAAGUCACACAGCAAGGCUGGGCGGCAGGCCAGCACCCUGAGCCUGUUGGCUAAGUUUUGGGGCUAGGGAGAGGGUCUCCAAGCUGGGAUGGCCCUCGCAGGACGGAGGCCACCCUGCAACACCCGCCACGUUCUCAGGGGGUCUCCGCCGGAGUGACCAGGUCUCAGCACACAGCCCCUGUUCUCUGGGGCCUCAGAUCAGGAGCCCGGGCUGGCGGCCCCACUGGCACAUGGCUCUCCACCCUUGAGCCUGUCCUCCUGUCUGGGGAGGGAGGUGACACUGGUGGCUUCUCAGCAGGGAGCGAGCUCUGGGGAGGGCCUCGGGGAGGCGGCUUUGGCAGACGACGUCUCCUUCCUGCGGAGGGACGCCUGCCAUUGACUCGAUUCUGAGGGAAAACCAACCAGGGUCUGAAGCAGAGCUACGGGCAGCUGCCAAGCCCACAGGGAACAGCCCAGGACGGAUGACAGCAGCCUCUGGGCCAAAAACACAAUCCUGCGGCCCAGAGACCAGGGCUCCACUCCGACCCCAGGCUCUGCAGGGAGGAGGCACACGGGGUGCUCCCACUCGGGGCCUGAGGACUCCCUGCCCUUGGGAGGUCCCUUUCAUUGCAGAAGCCUCUCUUCCCAGGGUCACCCUCGAGACCCUGCGGCUCUAGAGCCUCCCGGCUGUGGCUCCCCUCCCCGAGCAGACAGACACCCACAAGGCAAUUAGAGGGAAGUAUGAUUAGUCAGUUGUGGGCAGCUUCUCAGGAAACUCGCAGUCACCCAGGCUGGCCUCGGGGGAGGAGUGUGCGUGUCAGAGAGAGAGAGAGAGACCAUGGGAGUGUGUGUGCAUGUGUGUGUGUGUGCGCGCGUGUGCACGUGCAAGCUGGAUAAGCCUGAG
rnacentral:lncRNA from 1 species